AGAGUUUGAUCCUGGCUCAGGACGAACGCUGGCGGCGUGGAUUAGGCAUGCAAGUCGCGCGACGGACCUUCGGGUUACGGAGCGGCGAACGGGUGAGUAACACGUGAACAAUCUGUCCCCCCAUUCCGGAUAAUUGGUCGAAAGACCUUGUAAUACGGGCGAGGAUUUCUUUAGGGCAUCUUAGAGAAAGGGAAGGCGCAAGCCGUGUGGGGAGGAGUUCGCGGCCUAUCAGGUAGUUGGUGGGGUAAUGGCCUACCAAGCCUACGACGGGUAGCUGGUCUGAGAGGAUGGUCAGCCACAUUGGGACUGAGACACUGCCCAGACUCCUACGGGAGGCUGCAGUCGAGAAUCUUGGGCAAUGCACGAAAGUGUGACCCAGCGACGCCGCGUGAAGGAUGAAGGCCCUUGGGUCGUAAACUUCUUUUAUGGGGGAAGAAUCAAUGACGGUACCCCAUGAAUAAGCCACGGCUAACUACGUGCCAGCAGCCGCGGUAAUACGUAGGUGGCAAGCGUUGUCCGGAUUUACUGGGCGUAAAGCGUGCGCAGGCGGACUUUUAAGUAGAAAGUGAAAGGUUGGAGCUCAACUCCGACACUGCUUCCUAUACUGGGAGUCUUGAAUGCCGGAGAGGAAGAUGGAACGACACGUGUAGCGGUGAAAUGCGUUGAGAUGUGUCGGAACACCAAUGGCGAAAGCAAUCUUCUGGACGGAUAUUGACGCUCAUGCACGAAAGCUAAGGUAGCAAACAGGAUUAGAUACCCCGGUAGUCC
rnacentral:rRNA from 1 species